rnacentral:rRNA from 1 species
AUACGUAGGGUGCGAGCGUUGUCCGGAAUUACUGGGCGUAAAGAGCUCGUAGGUGGUUUGUCGCGUCGUCUGUGAAAUUCCGGGGCUUAACUCCGGGCGUGCUGGCGAUACGGGCAUAACUUGAGUACUGUAGGGGAGACUGGAAUUCCUGGUGUAGCGGUGAAAUGCGCAGAUAUCAGGAGGAACACCGGUGGCGAAGGCGGGUCCCUGGGCAGUAACUGACGCUGAGGAGCGAAAGCAGGGGUAGCGAACAGGAUUAGAUACCCUGGUAGUCCAUGCCGUAAACGGUGGGCGCUAGGUGUAGGGGUCUUCCACGACUUCUGUGCCGUAGCUAACGCAUUAAGCGCCCCGCCUGGGGAGUACGGCCGCAAGGCUAAAACUCAAAUGAAUUGGCGGGG